CGGGACGUGGCGCAGUUUGGCAGCGCACUUGAAUGGGGUUCAAGGGGUCGCCGGUUCGAGUCCGGCCGUCCCGA
rnacentral:tRNA from 1 species